AGUCCCCGUAGUAUAACAAAUUACACUGGUCUUGUAAACCAGAAAUGAAACGCAUGCUUCCGAGGACA
rnacentral:tRNA from 1 species